GUGGAGCAGGGUGGCAGCCAUGGGAGGGAGGUGACCCCACAGCCAGGGCUCCUGCUCCUCCCUGCCCUCUGGGACUGAGAAGAACACACGGCACCAGGCCCCGGGCGUGAGCAACCAGCCACAAGCUGCUCUUCUCCCCGGCUUCUCCAUUCUGACCUUCUGGAGUUUAAGUCCAAUGUCAGGGUUGCACAAGGAGCAGAGAGGCUUGGAGAAAGCAGAAGUGAGAUGAGGACACAGACUUUCCUGAGGAGGCUCGAGCCUGUGGUCGGCUGGGGCAUGGGCUGUCGUGGGGACGUCUGUGCUGGUUAAAUGGCCCCGUGGGAGGGGGCCGCAGGGUUGCCCGCAGCUCUGUUCCUUCUCCAUGUCCCAGGCUGCCUGGCUCUGUGGGGCCCCAGCAAUGUGACAGGCACUGAGGGGGGAUCUCUGAGCGUGCAGUGUCACUACGAGGAGGAGUUCAAGGCGCUCAAC
rnacentral:lncRNA from 1 species